rnacentral:rRNA from 1 species
UACGUAGGCAGCAAGCGUUGUUCGGAGUUACUGGGCGUAAAGAGUACGUAGGCGGUUUGCUAAGUCUGGUGUGAAAUCUCCUGGCUUAACUGGGAGGGUGCGCUAGAUACUGGCAGGCUUGAGUAUGGGAGAGGAGAGUGGAAUUCCUGGUGUAGCGGUGAAAUGCGUAGAUAUCAGGAGGAACGCCGGUGGUGUAGAUGGCUCUCUGGACCAUUACUGACGCUGAGGUACGAAAGCGUGGGUAGCAAACAGGAUUAGAACGUACG